UGAUCAUGUUUCCUUGCUUGGAGCGGCUGGAGAUUACGAGGUGUCCCUUGUUGAAAAGUGUUCCACUAACGGGACAAUGCUCAUCUCUUCAAAAGCUUCACAUUUCCAGUUGUGAAAAAUUAAGCAAGAUUGGAGAUGGAUUAUCUACCUCCACUUGUCUCAAAAAAUUACAUCUAGGCAAUUGUCCUGAUUUAAGUUCGAUCCCAAAUUUGGAAGGAUUUUCCUCUCUUCAAGAUCUGUCAGUUUGUGGGUGCCUCAAAUUGGAAGUUCUUCCAAUAACUGGAGGAUGUUCAUCUCUUGAAGAGCUGGAGAUUACGAGGUGUCCCUUGUUGAAAAGUGUUCCACUAACGGGACAAUGCUCAUCUCUUCAAAAGCUUCACAUUUGGGAUUGUGAAAAAUUAAGCAAGAUUGGAGAUGGAUUAUCUACCUCCACUUGUCUCAAAAAAUUACAUCUAGGCAAUUGUCCUGAUUUAAGUUCGAUCCCAAAUUUGGAAGGAUUUUCCUCUCUUCAAGAUCUGUCAGUUUGGGGGUGCCUCAAAUUGGAAGUUCUUCCAAUAACGGGACAAUGUUAUUCUCUUGAAAAGCUUCGCAUUUGCGAUUGUGAAAAAUUAAGCAAGAUUGGAGAUGGAUUAUCUACCUCCACUUGUCUCAAAAAAUUAAAUCUAAUCAUUUGUCCUGAUUUAAGUUCGAUCCCAAAUUUGGAAGGAUUUUCCUCUCUUCAAUAUCUGUCAGUUCGAUGUUGCAAGAAAUUGGAAGUUCUUCCAAUAACCGGAGGAUGUUCAUCUCUUGAAAAGCUUCGCAUUUCCAGUUGUGAAAAAUUAAGCAAGAUUGGAGAUGGAUUAUCUACCUCCACUUGUCUCAAAAAAUUAGAUCUAGUAGAUUGUCCUGAUUUAAGUUCGAUCCCAAAUUUGGAAGGAUUUUCCUCUCUUCAAGAUCUGUCAGUU
rnacentral:lncRNA from 1 species